rnacentral:rRNA from 1 species
CGUUCCCCGGGCCUUGUANACACCGCCCGUCACACCAUGGGGAGGUGGGGUUUUACCAGAAGUAGGUAGUCUAACCGUAAGGAGGACGCUUACCACGGUAGUAUUCAUGACUGGGGGUGAAGUCGUAACAAGGUACCC